UACGGAGGGUGCUAGCGUUGUUCGGAAUUACUGGGCGUAAAGAGUACGUAGGCGGUUUGAUAAGUUGGGAGUGAAAUCCCGGGGCUCAACCUCGGAAUUGCUUUCAAAACUAUUAAACUAGAGUAUGGUAGGGGACAGUGGAAUUCUUAGUGUAGGGGUGAAAUCCGUAGAUAUUAAGAGGAACACCAGAGGCGAAGGUGACUGUCUGGGCCACUACUGACGCUAAGGUACGAAAGCGUGGGGAGCAAACAGG
rnacentral:rRNA from 1 species